rnacentral:lncRNA from 1 species
AGCCUCUCUCUCCCAAACAGCAAAGCCGCUGCCGGGAAGGGGCCUGAGCUCUGUUUCCAUGGUUGCUUCCUUUGCUUGUUUGACAUAAAUCAGCUGAGGAUUCUAAACCAAAAUGUCACCUGCUUAGUUCUCAUGCUAAGCAGCAGACGUCAGUCAUCUCCCAACGUGUGACGUCACCGUGUUUUCUUUACGGCGUCGGGUCUUGCUAUCUAGUAGGUGCCCGUUAACAAAUGUUUGAACAACUUGGCGAAUAAACAACUGUUUCAUCGAUUAUUUAACGAAUCAGCACCUGGUGAGUGCAGAAAUGACUCUAAAUGGCAUGUUUCCUUUCUUCUUUAGUUUGUUCCUGCUUCUAUACAAGUAUCUGUCAGUUGUUGAUUCUUCCAGAGCGUCUGCUGUGUUCUUGGUGUCUCUGACAAGACUGUAAGCUGCCUGAAAAUACGGAUCGCCUUCGAAUUGUAGAACUGAGAAAUGGCGGGGAGCAGGCACAGUGUCAUUGAGAUGAUCCAGGAGCCACACAGAGGUGGGGAAAUGAGAGCAGAGAAACUGGCCCUGGCCUAGGCCCAGGGGGCCUCGGAGUCCAGGCGGGACCUUGGUCUCUGAUUGUGCCUCAGAAGUGAAUCAGCACCACCGCCUUCUGUCCUUGGGAUGCUCCACUGAGCACCACCGUGGGAUUCGCCAACAGCCACGCAGGGCCCUCAGCCCGGCCUCGCCCCACGGGCACUCCUGGCAGGACAGACAGACACACGGCUGGAAGGAUGCGUUCUCCCAAGGAAACUGGUGCUGUGUGGACCACAGGCAGAAUUAAUGUUUCAUGUUCGACCUGAAGUCUCUGAUGAGUCCUUUAAGUCCACGCUGGGACAGUGGAUGAUGUGGGCAGCAGGCCUGUGACUCCACGUGGACCCCCAUGAAUGUUGUCAGCGUGUCUACGCGAAGCUGUGCCAUUUACAGGAGAAACACUGGGUGGUGAGACUUGGAUGAGGUCAGCAGAGAAAGCGGCUGAACAGAUUCAGCUGUCCCCUCAGGUGACUGUGGAGCUAUGAAGACCUGAGGCAGGUACUUCUGUGCUAGCAAGGAAGGAUGUUUAUGAUAUAAUUUGAGGGGAAGAUAUAAAUCAGAGGUGUGGGGUGUGCAGAGGCCCCUGCCUUCCCCAGUGGGUGGACAGUACCUACACUGACACCCCCAGCAAGGCUGCCCAGGUGCUUUUCUUGGCAGCCAUCAAGUGAAAGGUACUUGCC